rnacentral:rRNA from 1 species
GGGUCAGUAGGUUGGUCGUGCCACCGGUACGUACUGGUCUCACUGAUUCCUCCUUCCUGAAGAACCGUAAUGCCAUUAAUUUGGUGUUGCGGGGAAACAGGACUGUUACUUUGAAAAAAUUAGAGCGUUUAAAGCAAGCUAACGCUUGAAUACAUUAGCAUGGAAUAAUGAAAUAGGGCGAUCGAUCCUAUUUUGUUGGUUUCUAGGAUUGACGUA